AUCAAUCACCAGGGAGUCUUGUCAAAAUGCAGAUUCUGUUAAGUCUGGGUCAGGCCUGAAAUUCUACAUUUCUAAUAUACUUUUAGGUGAGCCCAUU
rnacentral:pre_miRNA from 1 species